GACGAACGCUGGCGGCGUGCCUAAUACAUGCAAGUCGAGCGGACGGAAGGGAGCUUGCUCCCGGAAGUCAGCGGCGGACGGGUGAGUAACACGUGGGCAAUCUGCCUGUCAGACCGGAAUAACGCCUGGAAACGGGUGCUAAUGCCGGAUAGGCAAUCUGGAGGCAUCUCCAGAUUGGGAAAGGCGCGGAUGCGUCACUGACAGAGGAGCCCGCGGCGCAUUAGCUAGUUGGUGGGGUAACGGCUCACCAAGGCGACGAUGCGUAGCCGACCUGAGAGGGUGACCGGCCACACUGGGACUGAGACACGGCCCAGACUCCUACGGGAGGCAGCAGUAGGGAAUCUUCGGCAAUGGGCGAAAGCCUGACCGAGCAACGCCGCGUGAGCGAAGAAGGCCUUCGGGUUGUAAAGCUCAGUCACUCGGGAAGAGCGGGAAGGAGAGGAAAUGCUCCUUUCGAGACGGUGCCGAGAGAGGAAGCCCCGGCUAACUACGUGCCAGCCGCCGCCGUAAUAC
rnacentral:rRNA from 1 species